UCCAGAUGCUGCUUUUGGUUUGUACUUGCCAUUGCUAUUAAGCUCACUAUCUGCACCUGCUUCCUGCGUCUACGUUACAGAAUACUGCCUCAGAAAUUCUGGAAGCAGCAGAUGAUUACACCAUCUUCCAGACAGUCGAGGAACAGGGUCAUCUACUCGACCAACACCACGACCAGCUGGCUCUACCAUGUUCUCCACCACCUCAACACCACCUGCGAGGUUCUCCAAUCCUCUGACAGAGGGCCUCCUACCAUGGGUCGUCACAGUAAGCCAGUCCCCGAGCCUAGCCAGCCGUCCACCCAGGUCAGCGUUGCCCGCCUUUCCCUUCCGGAGAAGUAUGGCAGUACUCCAUUGAAAUGCCGUGGCUUCUUACUCCAGUGCCCCCUCUAUUUCGCCUAUCAGUCUGGGAGAGAAGAGAACAUGAAUUGGGUUCCUAUGAGAGGUUCAUGGCUCUGUUCUGGGUGGUCUUCAACCAUCCUCCAGAGGGCAGAGAGGGAGGUGAACGACUUUCAACUCCAGCAGGGUGUACAGACCGCUGCGGAGUAUGGUACCCUCCAGUGGAUGGAGUGAGCCGGUGCUCUGCACUCUAUUCUGCAGUGGACUGCGCGAGGAGGUCCAGAUAACCUUCUUCAGGAGUGUCGGUGUCCUCUUCACCACUCGCCUCCGUCCUUUGGCUGUCCGUUGACAUCUGCCAGGCUCUGGAGAGGGAACCUGCUCCUGCCACCUGCCCUCCGGAGCACAUCUACAUCCACACAGGGGUCAGAGAUGAGUUGCUGACCUGGACACACACAUUCCUUGCUGUUGGCCACCCAGGUCGCUGAAGCAAUGUUCCAGCAGGUCUUCUGGCACUAUGGCCUUCCGGAGGAUGUCGGCUCUGAUCGUGGACCCUAAUUCACAUCACAUGUAUGGAAGGCUUUCAUGGAGAAGCUCGGUGUGACGGUCAGCCUCACAUCUGGGUACCGGCCUCAAUCUAACGGGCAGGUGGAGAGGAUGAACCAGGGGAGGGGAGGUUCCUGAGGAGUUACUGUCAGGACCAGCAGGGGGAGUGGGCUCGAUUCCUUCCUUGGGCUGAAUACGCCCAGAAUGCAUUGUGACACUCCUCCACCGGGCUGACUCCCUUUCAGUGUGUUCUGGGUUAUCAGCCAACCCUGGCUCCAUGGACUCCCAGCCAGACUGAAGCUCCUGUGAUGGAUGAGUGGUUCAGGCGUGCAGAAGAGGUAUGGAACAAUACCCACGUGAGACUCCAGCGUGCCUUCUGCCGUCAAAGGAGCAGGCUGAUCGCCACCACAGUGAGCCUCCCGUGUUCCAUCCUGGAGAUCGCGUCUGGCUCUCUACAAGGAACCUCCUGCUCUGGAAGAAGCUGAGUCCCUGGUUUGUGGGGCCGUUCAAGGUCCGCCGAAGGGUCAACCUGGCCGGUGGUUCCCCGGCUAAUGCCGUCCACCACGACACCCCUCUGCCUCCCUUGGAUAUUGAGGGGAGCCCCGCCUAUGCCCUCAACCUUCGCUGUCCGGACCGGCCUGCUCCUUGCCCUCAGGACGUCCUCCUGGCCAGUGUCACACUGCAGCGUUGGAGGGGGGAGGUACUGUCACAUUUACGUACUCUCAACGCUUGACGUCGCUGGUCUACUAACCACUGGUCCUGGCAACCCAUCCUUAUUCGCACCUGGCAACACUCAUUAUGCACACCUGGGCCCCAUCAUGAGGCACACCUGGACUCCAUCACUACCCUGAUUACUCCCGCUUUAUCUAUCAGUUUCCAUGUCCAGACACUUCUCUUGUUUUGUACUCACCAUGUUCAUUAUUAUUAAAUUCACCAUCUGCACCUGCUUCCUGAUGCCCUGCAUCUACAUUACACUACAUUUGACCCAACAAAGC
ensembl:lncRNA